rnacentral:rRNA from 1 species
UGGGGAAUCAUGGUCAAUGGGCGAAAGCCUGAACCUGCGACGCCGCGUGAGUGAUGAAGGUCGUAAGAUCGUAAAACUCUUUUCAGGGAUCUUAAAGCCUGUCUGUCAACAACAGGCAGGUCUGACUCUCCCUGGAAGAAGCCCCAGCCAACUACGUGCCAGCAGCUGCGUUAAUACGUAGGGGGCGAGCGUUAUCCGGAAUUACUGGGUGUAAAGGGUAUGUAGGCGGCCCUUCAAGUCGCGUGUCAAAGUCCAGUGCUCAACGCUGGGUGUGCACGCGAUACUGACUGGCUUGAGUGCUGGAGAGGUGGGCGGAAUUCCCGGUGUAGUGGUAAAAUACGUAGAGAUCGGGAGGAACACCAGCGGCGCAGGCGGCUCACUGGACAGUAUCUGACGCUAAGAUACGAAAGCGUGGGGAGCAAACA